GCCGCCCGUUCCAGAGCUGCCACCGAUGCUUCACUAUGGUGUUUAAAAGAAAUGGAGGAUAUUUAAAAAGCGGUCAUCAAUGAAGAAAAAAGAAUGUGGAUCCAAGAAAGCCAAACUUGAUGUUUUUGUGAUGCCACAUCAGCAAGGUUCACAGUAUUCAAAUGGAAAAACUGCAAAACCUGGACUCUUAUUUUAACCUGCUGCUGCAUUUUACCUUAACCUCAAUUGCUGUCUUCCAGGAACACCACCCUUUGGAGUACAUCACAAUAAAGUACUUGAACUUGA